rnacentral:rRNA from 1 species
UACGGAGGGUGCAAGCGUUGUCCGGAUUUAUUGGGUUUAAAGGGUGCGUAGGUGGGCAGGUAAGUCAGUGGUGAAAUCUCUGGGCUUAACCCGGAACUGCCGUUGAUACUAUCUGUCUUGAAUGUAGUGGAGGUGAGCGGAAUAUGUCAUGUAGCGGUGAAAUGCUUAGAUAUGACAUAGAACAUCGAUUGCGAAGGCAGCUCGCUACACUAUGAUUGACACUGAGGCACGAAAAGCG